rnacentral:pre_miRNA from 1 species
UUGUUGCCUUCUGGGAACAACAUCCUGAUGCUGUCUGGGUGUGUGAAGCAAAAACUCCAGCAUCAGUGAUUUUGUUGCCAGCAGAAGGACAAAAUCU